UGCCAAAGCCAGUUACAAAACGCAUAAUCACUUUUUCGAAUGAGCAGGACUACAUUUCAUUCAGGCAUCAUAUUUAUGACAAGCCUGGAGGUCCUAAAUCCAUUGAGCUGAAGGAGAUUGGUCCGCGGUUUGAGUUGAAGCUUUUCAAGGUUAGAUUCAUCAGUUUACAUUCACAUGAUGUAUGUUAUUGACAUUGUUUGGACAACAGCUGUAAAAGAUAUAUGUUAUGAACACCCCUGCCCCCUCAGAAAGUGGUGGCUGCGGCAUUUGUUUUUCUCUUUUGUGUAGUUUAAUUAGUCUAUUGUUCUUGUAUGUAUUUUUCAAUUACUUCUAUGUUGUGUAGUUUAAUCUUA